GUGCGUUCGUUAGGGCAGCACAUAUACUAAAAUUGGAACGAUACAGAGAAGAUUAGCAUGGCCCCAAAGGGAGAUUAGAUAAAGGGGUAUUCAGAACAGAAAAUA